UACGUAGGGUGCAAGCGUUGUCCGGAAUUAUUGGGCGUAAAGAGCUCGUAGGCGGUCUGUCGCGUCUGCUGUGAAAACCUGGGGCUUAACCCCGGGCCUGCAGUGGGUACGGGCAGACUAGAGUGUGGUAGGGGGAGACUGGAAUUCCUGGUGUAGCGGUGAAAUGCGCAGAUAUCAGGAAGAACACCCGUGGCGAAGGCGGCUCUCUGGGACGGUACUGACGCUGAGACGCGAAAGCGUGGGGGAGCGAACAGG
rnacentral:rRNA from 1 species